CAGUAAGUCCCAGACACAGGAACCUCUCAGCUGUGUGGGACACCACCUUCACCCCUGAUGAGAUGAACGACAUCUCAUUUUGCUGUGGCUGAGAGCAAAGUCCGAGGGCGUCCUGCUUGUGGGGGCCCUCAGAGCAGGAUGAAAACCAGGAUGUGUACAUGGCCCUUCGAAGUCAAGUGGACGUCCGGUGACCAUGAGCUGGCAAGCAGGGAGAAGAAAGACAGCCACCCAAGGACAGAGGCCGGCCAAACGGGAAGAAUGCAGCCUCUGGGGAUGAUGCAUGCCAUUGGACUGCCACCAGCCACAGCCCCUCCUUCGCCUUCUCCAGAGUUCCUGUUAUGUGGCAAGACCGGAUGCAGUGCUGCAGAUAGAUGCUCUCUCGUCUGUGCCAAGAAAUCUGGAAGAUAGGAACCUGGCAAACUGCCCGGACAAAAUCCAUUCCAGAGAAAGAUGAUCCAACGGAAGGCUGACAUGAUUCAAUAAUGUCACUAGUACACUUCUGAAGAAGGUAAUUUA